AUGCGCCAGGGAAACAUAGGUGUCCGCCCACAGAAAAUGAAGUAUGUAGUUCAAGAUGGACGGAUUCGAACAGCUUCAAUUGCACUAGAAAGAGGACGCAUCAGCCGCAUAGACUUUUUAAAUGCUGUGAAAUAUGUCACUAAGACACUUGUAAACGGAGAAGUUGAGAAGGCCGAAAAGAGAGGAUCAGUUGAAGAGGAAGAAGACGAUAAUGAUGAGAUUAUUGGACAGGUUGAGCCUCCUGUUGGUCGUCCAUUUGUGGAAGCACUUGAAAAAUUAGGCAGCACAAGAAGAUUUUCUGGAAAACGAGGCAUCUCUAGAAAAGGCCGUCUACAAAGGGGAAUUCCUAGACCAGCUCCUCUGCGGAAAAAGACUUCUCAUCGGCAAAGAAGGAAAGUUGUCCUGAGAGGUGGCAUAAAAAAGCAUGCUAAGAAGCCCAUGUUGAAUAAAGAAGUUCUCGCUUUUGACCGUCCUGAGCCCAUCAUUGAACCUGUUCCUCAAGGAUCAAAAGAUAACCCUGAUAAUGGUCUAAGAGUUGUUAAUGCCAGAAAGAAGAGCUCAAUUUUUUUAAUGUUUGGAAAUACUGCUGAGGAAAAAUCAGAAACAAAGAAGGCCUCUCUUCCUGCUGCAUCUUUAGCUAUCGAAAAUGAACCAAUGAAUCAUGCCGAUCAACUAAGCCGAGAACAUUUUAUUGGAACAGUACAUAAAAUCGACGGAAAUCUUAGUACAGCAAGAUGCAUAGCAAGAUGCAUGGAGCCAGCUAUGACAAAUUCUAUCUUAAUUCCUGAGGCACAUACUCCAGCAAGUUACUCGGAGCAUCACUUAUAUGAUUAUUCUCAAGGUAGCGAUACACAAAGUGCUUCAAAUUUCAGCGAUACACUGACUGCUUCAGAAUUCAGCGAUACUGCUUCAGCAUGCUCAGAGGCUCCAGAUGCAGUCAUUGAUGCCCUGUUCGCUGAAGCAGGUCCAGUGCUAGAGAGUUGUUCUGUAAGUUCAUGUGGCAAAAGAGACGAUUCUGAAAUGGAUGUAGAAUGGCUAGCAAUUCCUGAGCUUCCAAAGGAGGAUUAUUUAAAAAGGAUACCUCCGUCUAACCCGAACUAUCCAAAUUGGCCCUUUGAGCAGCCACCAGAUUCGCGGUUUGCCAGGCAUCUGAGGCUGCAGUUUGGAUGCUCCUCAGAGGAUGAGACUGAUCCGGAAGAUUCCGACGAUAAAACAGCUCCAAUGCGCCUUCAGGCAAUCGCAAGAAAAAAUGUCAGAUCUGCUAUCAAGAAGGCAAGGAAUAGGGACUACGUAAAAUCGAGUGAAGUCAGAAGUCUAGGGUUGCCUGGGGUACUCGAAAGAUAUGUAGCCUAUAACAACUAGGCUUUGAAGAAACUCGCCUAGCCCUAAUAUCACCCACUUCCUGAUUUUUAAAUAUGUUUGAUGUAAUAGAUUUUUUGUAUUUCUGUAGUUGCUGUAUUUUUUUUUCCGUCUGUUAAGAAUUGUGAUUCCUGUUAGAUGUUAAGAAUUAGGCUCAGACUGCAGCUUUUAGCAAUAAAUAAUCCUUGAAAUACUA
rnacentral:lncRNA from 1 species